AGGAGAGGAGACUGUUGUCAAGGGCGCGAGACACAGACACUGCUCAAAGGAGAGCCAUAAACCAAAGGCAAAGGUCCCCGGACAAGGGCCAGGGGCAGAGGGAGAGGAGUGCUUACAGCCGUCCCCUUCCAAUGGAAGUGAAGCAGAAUUUGCUCUCAUGCUUUUUCCCAGCCUGGAUUUCUGGUGAUUCUUUCCAAUUAAUUUCACCUCUUUUCCCUACCAAGCUCCAGAAAAUGUGAUUAAACAGAAGGAAAAGCAGCAAGAACAGCAAACCGACGUAUCUAUGGAGUUUCUCUGGCUCUCUGCUGCCAACUGAGGGGCUCUCCCCACCUUCAUGGACGUCCCAGGGAUGUUUCAGAAGCCGAAAAUGCCUCUGGGUGGAAUCAGAAUUCAACUCCAGACAGCCUGAAAAUCCUGCAGCUUAAGGGCAGGUCGUGAACCGGCUCCCAUUGCAAGGGGAUGGUCUUAGCAGCCUCGUCCGCCCCGGAUUGGUGAGCCCCGCCGGAAGCCGCCUGCACACGCAUUUUCUAACAGAUAAGUCAAUCGGCAGAGACUUGCCCCCCUCUCCCCCCCCACCUUAUCCCAAAAUACCGUUUUCGCAAAGCCGGAGCCCACCAGUCACCCGGCAGCUCCCAGCACUCCCCUCUCCGCCACCCACCCUCGGCUCCUUAGCUCUAAAGGAGGGGGAUGAGGGGAUGUUUCCCCCCUCGCACCUCCUUUGGGGGUGCAAAAGGGUCGGCAGCAGCCGGCACCGGGGGUCCCGCACCCAGCCACCCCUCCGGGCCCGCAGCUUCCCCGGUGCCGCAUAACCUCUGUCCUCAGUCGGCUCUGGGAUGACGUGGCUUCGCACCCACCGCAAUUGGGGAUUUCGAGGUGUCCGUUCUGCUGGAGGCUCCUUAUGGACCGGGGGGAAAUAAAAAGAGAAGAUAGGCCUUUUCUUUUUUGUCGCGGCACGAAAUACCGUCUUUAGGCAAGGGUCUAAAGAUGCUAAAACGGCACCAGAAAUCGAAGUCUAGGAAAGGAGUGAGAAAAAUGAAAUAACGCGAAAUCGGCCGGAGCUGGGGAAGGUUCGCUCUAACAAGUGGUGGGAGGAUGCUCUGCCAACGAGUGGGGCUGCCUCUUCUUUAUAUAUUUCCUUGGCUCUUAUUAUUAUUAUUAUUGCUAUUUUUUCUUCGGAGUGGGAGAGUUUGCUUAAAAAGUGAUCUUAAUUAAAAAGAGAAGGAGCGGAAUGGAGCCCGCUGUGUGGACGGAAGCUUGCUAGGCUUGGAAUUAAAAGGUCAUUUCGAGAGGAUUGCCAAGUCUACGUGCUGGGGGGACUCAGCCUUUUAUGCCGCCAUGUGUUGUCUCCGUCCGCUGCCAUAGGAAAGCAGUUGUGCCGUAAUGAGAAAGAGAAGAUUGACCUUACCUGGAGAAGCAGCUGUGUGGGGAUGGUGAAAAUCCCCUCCUCGUGGUAACUGCCCCGAUUGCGACGUGAUGCGCAGUUCUGCGCUAAGAGGCAGCGAGAAACUGCUGUUCGUCCAACACAUUUCCCACGAGUUGCUCUCCUGCCAAGGUCCCGUCUGCCCCAUAUCGGCCCGACUCGGGGUGUGUGUGUGUAGUGGGGGGGGGGGGGGCAAAAGCGGUGCGGAAAGAGCCCGUCUGAAAGAAUCUCCCCCUUUUCUUUUAUUACUGCACAUUCUUUUAUCGCUACACGUUUUACAGAAACUCUCCCUCCAGAACUUAAUUCUCGUACCUGUGCCCUUUUCCCACCCUACUGCCUUGCCUCGGUGUGGUGGAGGCAGAUCCCUCCCAGACUUCAGACGAUUUUUGGGGUGGGGGUGGAGGGGUUCCCCACUAUCUGGCGGUGACCCCACAGCAGAUCGUCGCGGGGGACUCAGCAGCAGUAGGGUAUAAAACCCCCAAACCGGCGGCAGUGGGAGCGAAGCGAUCGCCCAGCUAUUGCGUGGGAGCUCGAUAUGAUUUCAUGGAGGGAGGCGAGGAGGGGGGAGGAUUAGUCUGGUAGCUAAAAUGUGGGCUCCUGAACAACAAUCCAACUUUAUUUUAACUUUCUCUCCUCCGGCUUCCCCUUUCCAAAGCGCAUACGCUUUUACUUUACAGGGGACCGAAAUGCUUUAUUAACUGCUGAGAUUACAAACCUCAUUUGGAAUUGUGUUUUUUAGCCGGAGUAUACUUUCGGCUCUUGGAAAAUUCCCCACAUGUGUAACUUGUUUUUGCUUCUCUUCAGACAAGGAAUUCCGCCUCCCCCCCACCUCACCCCCCCCCCCCUUCUUCUCACCACUUACGGAUUUUUAACAGACGGCCGCAUUCAAACUGAGGGCUAGCACAGGAAAUGGCAAAGGUAGAACCCUCUUCUUUCAGGCUACAGAAACUUAUUUCACAUUUUUUAUUAAAAAAAAAAGAAAGAAAGAAAGAAAAAAAAAGGAGUUUUACUCCUCAAGAGGGAUUUUUGUUCCGCUCUCGUGAGUUCGGGGGGGUUUGGGACUGAAGUUUUCUCUCUUAGAUCCGCGUAAAUGCGUUGUUUGGGAAUUAUGAGCGCUUUAAGCUGGGGUUUUAUUACUGUUUCCCCGUUUUAAAAUAUUUCUAUUAUUAUUAAUAAUUAUUAUUAUUAUUUCGGCAUACUUUUCAUAUCCGAAAUUAACGCUCAGCCCUUUGAAGGCUGAGUGAUUUCUGAAUCUGGUCUCCAGACACCCCAUAGCCGCGAGGUUCGCUCUCAGCUGUUAUCCCCUCUUGCAUAUCCUUAUCGCCUUCAAAACCCAACGUGCAAAAGAAGAGUGAACGUAUCCAAAGUAACGCACACUGCACACCACCUCGAAACCGUGAUAGGACCCCCCCCGUCCCAUCCCAGCACAGCAGAAAGCUCCGCACCCCCGGAUCCCCCCCACCUCCUUCAUCUCAGUGCUAAAGCAUCUGGAAAAGGAAGGUGCCAAUUCUAAUAAACGAUAACAACUGCCCUUAACAAUAGUAAAAGUGCUUAAAUAUGUUGCCGGCCAAAAAUAAAUAAAAAUAAAUAAAUAGGAUCGUCCGCUCUUUUAUUUUUCUGAUGCCAAAACUUCCACAUCAGCAAAAGAUGGCAGUGGAGCAGACCUGAAAGCUGCAUCUUGUGAAGGCGUUUUGUGUUUGGUCGCUGGCGGUGCAGCAAUACCGACCCGAGGAGCUGUUUGUUAAGGAUGAAUUUUUGCAGCUGUGUGUUUCAAAGGGGAGCGCUGUGUGGAAUUGGUUCCCUCUCCCUACAAACAAGAAAGAUUAUUUAUAAACAACAUCUGAGCUAGGAAGCCUCUGGGUUUCCGUUGCAAGCUGACAACACUCCCAGUUUUUUUCCUCACAGGCAAAGAAUACACUUGGCACUGAUUCUGAGAGCAGCAAAAAGUUUCCACUUCGGACUUUUUUUAGGGGGGUAACUGUUUCUAGUUCCACUUUACCGACCAGCAAUAAACCCAUACCUCAAGUGAAGGCAGCCGGUGUGCAAAGCGAGCACAGCUCGCACACCCUGGCUGCUCUAACUCAAAAACUCAUCCCGAAAUUGACUCCCCGAGGUCCCUUUCUCCCCGGCUUUUCCUCCUCUGAGUUUUUUGUUUUUUGUUUUUUGUUUUUUUUUUCUUUUUUUCUCAAAGAGAAGAGCCUUUCAUACCAUUUCUUUCGGGGUCUAUUUGAGGCUUUCAUGUAUGAAGUCACAGGAAACAGACAGCACCACGCGAGCGGGGCUCCCAGAUCUGGGAUGGAGCGGCUGCUCGCCUGGAGUCCCUCUCAGCAAAGGUUACAAAGAGAUGAGCUAUGGGAAUAUGCAUCAAAAAUAAACUACUGAACAAACGGAAACCUCCAGAGGAGCGAAAGCAAAUGGAUUUGGCAGAUCAUCUUGUGAGGUUUCCAUCCACCAGGGAUCUGAGAACUCCUGCUCUUUGCCUCACAGCCACACUCCUAAGAGUCUUCUUGGUCUGAAUUUAUAUACUACAGAAGAUUAUAUACUCACAUGCUGACACAGUUCAUCAUUAUUUAUAGGAGGCGCACCAGGAUUUUUUUUUUCCCAAGAAUAUAUUUAUUACAGGUAAGACACAGCCAAUCUAUCUAGCAAACAGAGAACAGGUGUUUUGCUUCAAUUAACGUUCAAUAAUUUUAUCUAUACUUAUUCAACACCCCGAUGCCAACACGGCUGUUUAUCCAUCACUUGUAUAAACACAUUUCCACGAGCCAGGAGAGUUUAAUCUCCAGAACUCGCUUAAAUCAGCCCUUCCCUUUUCCAAGCUCUCAUAACAUUUUCAGAGUCCCUCCGAAUCUGUUGUGAAAUAGGCUGAUGUAAUAAAAAGAGUAAAGUCUGGAAGGCAAUAAAGCGGAGGACGAUGGCAAUCCGAGCAAGCAGCUCGCAUUGCAUGGCUGAUGACACGGGAUCCCUUAAGUUCAAAAACUCCGUAACGAGUUAAAGGGAAGAGCAAAUAAGAGUAGUUGGGGAAAGCAGGAAUUCCUCCCGUCGCUCGCCCUGGUCUGGGAGAUCAGCGAUCCUGCCCCACGCUGCUCACUUGUAGGGAUUUCUCUGCCUUCCCCAGUUUAAAUGCAAAGGGAUGAAGUGGGGUUACUUUGGAUGCACCCCACAGAAAGGAGAGGAAGGUUUGUCGGGCGGUGAGGACUCACCUGGUCACAUUUACUCGCGACGGUCUUUGCAAGAGCUUAACUCAGAGCUCACCUUGGCUGGAGCCCGAGACUGCCUCUGCUUUUCCAGACCAGGGAGCGUUUUGCUCUGGCUGGGGGUGGGGUGGGGGGGCUCUUAUUACCCUGAUUGAUGUAAAAAUUAAAAAUAAAUCCGAUCUCCGGCACUGGGCUCCGGCUCUCUCUGCCCAUCAUCCCGACCCUCUCGAUUAGUUCUUUUUUUAAAUGAAAAUGGACAGCUUCUUCCCAGCGCCUCUUGCAGAGGGUCUCUGCUUCUCGAUGCGGGGAAUUGUCCCUUCAUCACGCUGCGGGGCAUCGAAAAACACCGCUGAUGGGAAUAAGGGAGAACCUAACAAUUUGGGUGUCGGGUUUUUAGCGCCUUAAUGAUCACUCCGUAUCAGUAUAACACCUCUGAUAGUAAAUUCAUACAUAGGUUUUGUACAGACGAGCACAUAGGAGUCAUAUACACACACAUACGGUAUCACAGAGAUGCGAAAUACGCUUUUCCUUGAUUUCAGGUGGCUAUUAGCACCCUCCGAUGUUAUUAUUAGCCCGUUAAUACAGGCUAUAUAAUACUUACAUCCCUAUAUACCUCAGGAAGGAUUCGCGAUGAUUUAUCAUUCCUAGAAAUCUCUUUGCCCUUCACAUUAAAUAUCCUUCUGUGUUGGGGUGAGAGGAAGAAGGGCGGAGGGGCAAUAGAUUAAAGGAGGCGAAUUGAUCCAGACUGUUACAGCUGAAGUCCAGAAAACACUUUUGCCCUAAUCACACCGCGCACCUUUUCCUUAACCAACAUUUACGACGCCAUCAGAUCAUCUCGCAAUAAACGCAUUUGUCAUAAUAAGUCGGGAAAACUGACCCCGUUACCCCGCAUCGCCGGGCGGGACCCGCACCGAACCGGAGCCGCGCGUCAAUCAUCGCGUCCAGGGCUGGAAAAAAAAAAAAAGAGAGAGAAAUAAAAAUUAUAAUUCUAAUUAAAAUGAA